AUUGAACGCUGGCGGCAUGCCUUACACAUGCAAGUCGAACGGCAGCACGGGAGCAAUCCUGGUGGCGAGUGGCGAACGGGUGAGUAAUAUAUCGGAACGUGCCCGGUCGUGGGGGAUAACGUAGCGAAAGCUACGCUAAUACCGCAUACGAUCUACGGAUGAAAGCGGGGGAUCGCAAGACCUCGCGCGAUUGGAGCGGCGAUAUCAGUAGUUAAGGUUAGUUGGUGAAGGUAAAGGCUCACAAGCCGACGAUCUG
rnacentral:rRNA from 1 species